rnacentral:rRNA from 1 species
GAGUUUGAUCAUGGCUCAGGACGAACGCUGGCGGCGUGCUUAACACAUGCAAGUCGAACGGGUACCAACCAGUGGCAACACUAGGGCAGUACGAGUGGCGAACGGGUGAGUAACACGUGAGAAACCUGCCCCGGACUCCGGGAUAACAGUGGGAAACCAUUGCUAAUACCGGAUACCUUCCCUUGGUCGCAUGGCCGUAGGAAGAAAGAAUUUUGGUUCGGGAGGGUCUCGCGGCCUAUCAGCUUGUUGGUGGGGUAACGGCCUACCAAGGCGUCGACGGGUAGCUGGUCUGAGAGGAUGAUCAGCCACACUGGGACUGAGACACGGCCCAGACUCCUACGGGAGGCAGCAGUGGGGAAUCUUGCGCAAUGGGCGAAAGCCUGACGCAGCAACGCCGCGUGGGGGACGAAGGCCCUCGGGUUGUAAGCCCCUUUCAGCAGGAACGAAAAUGACGGUACCUGCAGAAGAAGGUCCGGCCAACUACGUGCCAGCAGCCGCGGUAACACGUAGGGGCCGAGCGUUGUCCGGAUUUAUUGGGCGUAAAGAGCUCGUAGGCGGUACGGUAAGUCGGGUGUGAAAACUCUGGGCUCAACUCGGAGACGCCACCCGAUACUGCCAUGACUGGAGUC